rnacentral:rRNA from 1 species
UACGUAGGGGGCAAGCGUUGUCCGGAUUUAUUGGGCGUAAAGAGCUUGUAGGCGGUUUGUCGCGUCUGCUGUGAAAUUUCGGGGCUCAACCCCCGAACUUGCAGUGGGUACGGGCAGACUAGAGUGUGGUAGGGGAGACUGGAAUUCCCGGUGUAGCGGUGAAAUGCGUAGAGAUCGGGAGGAACACCAGUGGCGAAGGCGGCUACCUGGACCAGCACGUGACACUGAGGCACGAAAGCGUGGGGAGCA